UAGGCCCCCUCGGAAAAAAACCCUUAGUAUAAAGUGUUACCGCUCUCUAAACACGGCCGUAGCUCUGCUACACGAUUCCUCACUCAACUCUACUUCCACAG